GCUUCCAAUGAUGUUGUUUAAAAUCCAUGCUAAUGCUGAUCACGGAUGAUUAAUAAUUUUAAUUUGUGUCACUGAGGGAGCC